rnacentral:rRNA from 1 species
UACGUAGGGACCAAGCGUUGUUCGGAUUUACUGGGCGUAAAGGGCGCGUAGGCGGCAAUUCAAGUCAUCUGUGAAAUCUCCGGGCUUAACUCGGAACGGUCAGAUGAUACUGCUUGCUAGAGUGCGGAAGGGGCAAUCGGAAUUCUUGGUGUAGCGGUGAAAUGCGUAGAUAUCAAGAGGAACACCUGAGGUGAAGACGGGUUGCUGGGCCGACACUGACGCUGAAGCGCGAAAGCCAGGGGAGCAAACGGG